CCACAGUUUCCACCCAGCUACCCACCUCCUUGCCCUACUUCCCGAGCUCAGGAUAUGCCUGGUGCCAGUGCAGCCCCUGGCUUGCCUCUCUCCCUCCUUCAUCCCUGCACUGGGCACUGUGUAAACCCAACUGCUUCCAUCCCCUGCAGCAACCCGGCUAAAUGGAACUGCGAAGGGGGAACGGCGGCGAGAACCAGGGGGUUAUGAUAGCUCAUCCACCCUUAUGAGCAGCGAGCUGGAGACCACCAGCUUCUUUGACUCAGAUGAGGAUGACUCCACCAGCAGGUGGGGCUUGAGUUUCGUGGGUAUUGUGGGGCAGGUGACCCUGGAGGAGCCCUAAACCCUGAGGAUGCGGGGCCCCUGGGAGGCUUAUGGGCUUUGUGUUGGGGACCCAGGCCCUGCAGUGCCUCUCAUGGGGGCAGGGCUGGGCCAGCCUGGUGGGGAACGACUGUGGGCCCCACAGGUUCAGCAGCUCCACAGAACAGAGCAGCGCCUCACGCCUGAUGAGAAGACACAAGCGGCGGCGGCGGAAGCAGAAGGUUUCUCGGAUUGAGCGGUCUUCAUCCUUCAGCAGCAUCACGGACUCCACCAUGUCACUCAACAUCAUCACGGUC
rnacentral:sRNA from 1 species